rnacentral:rRNA from 1 species
AACGAACGCUGGCGGCAGGCCUAACACAUGCAAGUCGAGCGAAGCCUUCGGGCUUAGCGGCGGACGGGUGAGUAACGCGUGGGAACGUGCCCUUUGGUACGGAGUAGCCCCGGGAAACUGGGAGUAAUACCGUAUGUGGUCGAGAGACGAAAGAUUUAUCGCCAAAGGAUCGGCCCGCGUUGGAUUAGGUAGUUGGUGGGGUAAUGGCCUACCAAGCCGACGAUCCAUAGCUGGUUUGAGAGGAUGAUCAGCCACACUGGGACUGAGACACGGCCCAGACUCCUACGGGAGGCAGCAGUGGGGAAUCUUAGACAAUGGGGGAAACCCUGAUCUAGCCAUGCCGCGUGAUCGAUGAAGGCCUUAGGGUCGUAAAGAUCUUUCAGUGGGGAAGAUAAUGACUGUACCCACAGAAGAAGCCCCGGCUAACUCCGUGCCAGCAGCCGCCGUAACAC